rnacentral:rRNA from 1 species
GACGAACGCUGGCGGCGUGCUUAACACAUGCAAGUCGAACGGAAAGGCCCUGCUUUUGUGGGGUGCUCGAGUGGCGAACGGGUGAGUAACACGUGAGUAACCUGCCCUUGACUUUGGGAUAACUUCAGGAAACUGGGGCUAAUACCGGAUAGGAGCUCCUGCUGCAUGGUGGGGGUUGGAAAGUUUCGGCGGUUGGGGAUGGACUCGCGGCUUAUCAGCUUGUUGGUGGGGUAGUGGCUUACCAAGGCUUUGACGGGUAGCCGGCCUGAGAGGGUGACCGGCCACAUUGGGACUGAGAUACGGCCCAGACUCCUACGGGAGGCAGCAGUGGGGAAUAUUGCACAAUGGGCGGAAGCCUGAUGCAGCAACGCCGCGUGCGGGAUGACGGCCUUCGGGUUGUAAACCGCUUUCGCCUGUGACGAAGCGUGAGUGACGGUAAUGGGUAAAGAAGCACCGGCUAACUACGUGCCAGCAGCCGCGGUGAUACGUAGGGUGCGAGCGUUGUCCGGAUUUAUUGGGCGUAAAGGGCUCGUAGGUGGUUGAUCGCGUCGGAAGUGUAAUCUUGGGGCUUAACCCUGAGCGUGCUUUCGAUACGGGUUGACUUGAGGAAGGUAGGGGAGAAUGGAAUUCCUGGUGGAGCGGUGGAAUGCGCAGAUAUCAGGAGGAACACCAGUGGCGAAGGCGGUUCUCUGGGCCUUUCCUGACGCUGAGGAGCGAAAGCGUGGGGAGCGAACAGGCUUAGAUACCCUGGUAGUCCACGCUGUAAACGGUGGGUACUAGGUGUGGGGUCCAUUCCACGGGUUCCGUGCCGUAGCUAACGCUUUAAGUACCCCGCCUGGGGAGUACGGCCGCAAGGCUAAAACUCAAAGGAAUUGACGGGGCCCCGCACAAGCGGCGGAGCAUGCGGAUUAAUUCGAUGCAACGCGUAGAACCUUACCUGGGUUUGACAUGGAUCGGGAGUGCUCAGAGAUGGGUGUGCCUCUUUUGGGGUCGGUUCACAGGUGGUGCAUGGCUGUCGUCAGCUCGUGUCGUGAGAUGUUGGGUUAAGUCCCGCAACGAGCGCAACCCUUGUUCACUGUUGCCAGCACGUUAUGGUGGGGACUCAGUGGAGACCGCCGGGGUCAACUCGGAGGAAGGUGGGGAUGACGUCAAGUCAUCAUGCCCCUUAUGUCCAGGGCUUCACGCAUGCUACAAUGGCUGGUACAGAGAGUGGCGAGCCUGUGAGGGUGAGCGAAUCUCGGAAAGCCGGUCUCAGUUCGGAUCGGGGUCUGCAACUCGACCUCAUGAAGUCGGAGUCGCUAGUAAUCGCAGAUCAGCAACGCUGCGGUGAAUACGUUCCCGGG